GCAUCAAUAGCUCAAUGUUAGAGCGUCAGCUUUGUAAGCUGAAUGUUGAAGGUUAAAAUCCUUCUUUAUGCU
rnacentral:tRNA from 1 species